AUUGAACGCUGGCGGCAGGCCUAACACAUGCAAGUCGAGCGGAUGAAGGGAGCUUGCUCCUGGAUUCAGCGGCGGACGGGUGAGUAAUGCCUAGGAAUCUGCCUGGUAGUGGGGGAUAACGUCCGGAAACGGGCGCUAAUACCGCAUACGUCCUGAGGGAGAAAGUGGGGGAUCUUCGGACCUCACGCUAUCAGAUGAGCCUAGGUCGGAUUAGCUAGUUGGUGGGGUAAAGGCCUACCAAGGCGACGAUCCGUAACUGGUCUGAGAGGAUGAUCAGUCACACGGGAACUGGGGACCGGGCCAGGCUCCUGCGGGAGGCAGGAGGGGGGAAUAGUGGACAAUGGGCGAAAGCCUGAUCCAGCCAUGCCGCGUGUGUGAAGAAGGUCUUCGGAUUGUAAAGCACUUUAAGUUGGGAGGAAGGGCAGUGAGUUAAUACCUUGCUGUGUUGACGUUACCAACAGAAUAAGCACCGGCUAACUUCGUG
rnacentral:rRNA from 1 species